rnacentral:rRNA from 1 species
AUUGAACGCUGGCGGCAUGCCUUACACAUGCAAGUCGAACGGCAGCGCGUCCUUCGGGAUGGCGGCGAGUGGCGAACGGGUGAGUAAUACAUCGGAACGUGCCCGAGAGUGGGGGAUAACGCAGCGAAAGCUGUGCUAAUACCGCAUACGAUCUCAGGAUGAAAGCAGGGGACCGCAAGGCCUUGCGCUCACGGAGCGGCCGAUGGCAGAUUAGGUAGUUGGUGGGAUAAAAGCUUACCAAGCCGACGAUCUGUAGCUGGUCUGAGAGGACGACCAGCCACACUGGGACUGAGACACGGCCCAGACUCCUACGGGAGGCAGCAGUGGGGAAUUUUGGACAAUGGGGGGAACCCUGAUCCAGCCAUGCCGCGUGCAGGAUGAAGGCCUUCGGGUUGUAAACUGCUUUUGUACGGAACGAAAAGGUCUUUUCUAAUAAAGAAGGCUGAUGACGGUACCGUAAGAAUAAGCACCGGCUAACUACGUG